rnacentral:rRNA from 1 species
AGCAGCCGCGGUAAUUCCAGCUCCAAUAGCGUAUAUUAAAGUUGUUGCAGUUAAAAAGCUCGUAGUUGAAUUUCGGGAUCAGUACGCUGGUCGUGCCUUGGUAUGUACUGGUGUUAUUGGUUCCUACCUUCUGACGAACCGUCAUGUCAUUAAUUUGGUGUGGCGGGGAAUCAGGACUGUUACUUUGAAAAAAUUAGAGUGUUUAAAGCAGGCUCGCGCUUGAAUACAUUAGCAUGGAAUAAUGAAAUAGGACGUUUGAUCCUAUUUUGUUGGUUUCUAGGAUUGACGUAAUGAUUAAUAGGGAUAGUUGGGGGCAUUAGUAUUCAAUUGUCAGAGGUGAAAUUCUUGGAUUUAUUGAAGACUAACUACUGCGAAAGCAUUUGCCAAGGAUGUUUUCAUUAAUCAAGAACGAAAGUUAGGGGAUCGAAGACGAUCAGAUACCGUCGUAGUCUUAACCAUAAACUAUGCCGACUAGGGAUCGGAUGAUGUUAAUUUUUUAAUGACUCAUUCGGCGCCUUACG